GGUCUGGUGGCCCAAUUGGCAGGGCGUCUGACUUCGAUUGAUUUUCACAUACAAAAAAUUGGAAUUUUCGGAAAUUCAUCAGAAGAUUGCGGGUUCGAGUCCUGUCCGGAUCG